rnacentral:rRNA from 1 species
UACAGAGGGUGCGAACGUUGCUCGGAAUUACUGGGCGUAAAGCGCGUGUAGGCGGAGCGAUAAGUCGGGAGUGAAAUCCCCGGGCUCAACCCGGGAACUGCCUUUGAUACUGACGAUCUGGAGAUCGGGAGAGGUUGGUGGAAUUCCGAGUGUAGAGGUGAAAUUCGUAGAUAUUCGGAGGAACACCAGAAGCGAAGGCGGCCAACUGGCCCGAUACUGACGCUGGAGGCGCGAAAGCGUGGGGAGCAAACAGG